rnacentral:piRNA from 1 species
UGCUUUAUUCAGUGUGGGUGGCAUU